UCCCUCUCUUUCUCUCUCCUCUCCUCUCCUCUCUUCUCCUGUCCCUCCCUCCUCUCCCUCCCCCCAACCCCAAUAACAUUUCAGCCUUCUACUGCUCAUGCGCUCUGAUCCAGGCGGGAAUUCUUUACUCUUUCCGUACACCUAACACCCCAUCCCCAUCCCUUCUAUAAAGCUGAGCUACCAGGCUCCUGAAAUUGAGCAGGGCUGGGUUUCGCAUCUAUCCAUGACGACUCCUGGAAGGAGUUGAGCAUAGUCUUAGGCAUUUUAAUAUCCAAACUCCUCAAGGAGCAUAGAAAGUUUGUCUUGCGUGCAAAGGACUCAAGGAAGGCAGGCUGCAGACUAUCUGGAGCAGAGAAGCUCCUAGAGUAGCGAACCCACUUUAUUCUCCUCCGUUCUGCCCCUUGUCUUUCUCUUCUUCCUUCUUAUCAUUUCCCCUACACCUAGCCCACAUACAUCCCCAUCACACUUGCCCUUUCUGUUUGGCUUCUUUAUUCCCCCUCUUCUUCCCCUCCUCCUCUCUCGCGCUCUAGCUCCAGCUCUUGCUCUCUCCCCUCUGUGAUGGCGCUCUUGGAAGUAGAAACCCAAAACUCCCAGCCUGACUAGAGAGACUGAACCAGAGGAGAUUAUGAAGAGAGGAGGGGAAGUCUUUUUUCAAACUCACUUCAGGCCUCCCUGAAAGGACUUUUCUUUCUUCAUUUCUUUCUUUUUUUUGUCACAGCUCAUAUUAAUUUAUCUGAGGGUAUUCUGGCAAAAAGAAAGCAAUCGAGAGAGAGAGAGAGAGAGAGAGAGAGAGAGAGAGAGAGAGAGAGAGAGAGAGAGAGAGAGGCUGUGGGCACACAAAUGGAGGAGCAGGUCUUUCCUCUGGAGGCUAUGGUAAAGGGACUAAUCUGAGGCUCCUGUAUUCUAUGCAGUGAUGACAGAUGAAGAUUCAAUGAAUGGAAACUAUGAUUACUUCCAUGAUCUGUGGCAACUUGUUGCCAAAGCUUUAACCUUAGUCCUUGCUAUCUUUAGGAGUCUACAGACAGGAUACCAUAGUUGACUACAUCCAUGACCUUCAGUCUAGAAUUGCCACCACAGUUGCCUGAGGAAGAUGAAGAUUUCAGUUCUGGCUCAGGAAUGACUGCUCCUUGUCUGCCCUAGGAUCUGCUGCUUUCUGAGCCUAAAUGGGCUGUUCCUCAUGGCCAAAGAUGCCACUGGACUUUCUUGGACCUUCCUGAGGGACACAGAAAGUCUAGUUUGUUUGUUGUUUUUUAAAGAGAAUUCUAAAUGUUGAAAAACAAAACAAAAACAAAAAACCUUUCUGCGAAGGGAGAAGUUUGAACAAAUUACAUGGAACACAAUUUAGAACUGAUGGGACUGCCCCCCUCCCUGAGGUAUUACAUCCCAUGAUUAGUAAAUAAAGGAUUUUGCUUGUUUGUUUUAUUUUGUUUGUUUUCUUUUGUAUUAGAGGCAAGAUCUCAAGGAGGCCAGGAUGGUCUAGAACUUAAAUGGUUUUGAGCUUCUACUCCUUCUGCCACCAGUCUCUAGGAGCUGAGUCCAUAGAUAUUCAGUAGCACAAAUGAGUUAAAGUGGUGCUGAUAAAGGAACCUAGGACUCCAUGCAUGCUAAACAAGUCCUCGGCCAACUGAGCCACAACCCUACUCCCUAAAUAAGGGUUUAAAAUUUUUAAUAAUUGACUUAUUUUCUAAAGCUUGGUACAUUCUUCAUUCAUCCCUGCUUGGGGCAAGGGAUUUAGCAAGGGAUUAACUCCCACAAUAAUUUCUCUAGCUUUGAAUAGCCUGUAUCUCUCUACUCUGCCUUAGGAAGGUCUUAGGCAAUUACAAAUAGAUUCUGUGUGCACACUCACAUGCACAUACACACACACAGAAAUACACACACAGACACACACAGACAGAUACACACACAGACACACACACACACACACACACACACACACACACACACACACCCUGUAGGAAAGAGAGACAUUUGACUUCUGUUCCCUAAACCAAGGCCAUUUGUGGCAAUUUUAAAACUAGACUCUGAGAAUUCAUCUUCUUUCCUGGCUUUCCCCCUCUCCCUAUGCUUCAUUUAGUUAGCCCUUUAAUGAGAGGCACUUCUAUCAGGACUCUUGGUUUGUUUUGCCUUCCCUUCAUCUGUGGAUAGUUGUCACCAAAUUUCAGUGAAUUUCAAGUCUGAUCUCUGAGCAAAGUGAAUAAUGUAUUGAGGUGAGUCUAUGCUGAGCCUCCAAAGGGCUCAAAGCACAGCAUACACACUGGAAGCACAACUGUGUUCCUUCUUGUCCACCUAUGUCUGUCCAUCAAACCUCAGAACUGAAAUAGUAACCCAGAGUGCAAGAGCAUAGGUACCAUAGGCCAGGAAGUAAAAUCCUCUUACCUAAACCUAGGUGAUAUACAAUUAAUUAUUCAGGAUGUGUCAAAUUCACAAUCCAUUUUAAUUUGUUAAUUAUUUUAUUUGAACCAACUUGGAUUCUUAAUAUGCAUACUGUGAUCCGAUCCUCAUUAGAAGUUUUGAAUAACAAUACAGCCUGAACAGGGGUUUUUAAAAAAGCAUUUUCUGUUAUUUUCAGAACCAUUUGGAAGCCUGGUGAGCAUGCUGAACUCCUAACAGUCAUGUGUUUGCUUCUCAUUUUCACAGGAGAAGAAAAUGUUAACUUUCCAUUAGCAGGCUGUAGCGAGAAAGAUUUUUUAAAAAUCCAAGUUUACAGACCUUCUGAAUUGGUGUUUCUGUAAAGCCGCAAUCGUUUCCUCAUCACCAAGGAAGUCUUGUAUUUCAUUUUCUGAGUCUGAGCCUGCUUGAGAAGAAAAGGGCUGAGUAAAACAACACACCAAGAAUCUGUGGCUUGAAUGUAUGAAAGAAAGAUGUUAGUCUGAAAACAAUUUUUUAGCCUUUCUUUGAUCAUUUUCAAAUUGGGAAACACAAGAAAAAAUUUCUGGAGACUACUCACUUUUCCUGUAAAAUGGCAUGGGUUGGUAAUAAAAACACUGAAAAAUCCUUA